AGAGCCCAAAGAUUUGUCUUUCGCCUGCUAUUUCUGUCUAUCACCGAAACCAAACGUAAGUUUCUGUAUUUUGAUAUAAAAUUGUUGUAAAUUUAUUGAUUUGUUUAUGGUAGUUUGUAUUAUCUAUUGUUGAUCAAGUUUGAUUUGCUUUGCGUUCGUCUAGGGUUUGUUGAUUCUCGAUUUAUUUGGAUGCUUUAUUUUUGUUUCUAUUGCAUGUUAGGUUAGAAAAUUGGGAAAUUGAGGGAAAUUUUGGUUAAUUUUUGUAAUUUCAAAUUGUGUUUCUGGGCCUUUCAUAUGCGAGAUAAUGUUUGCAUAUUUAUAUUUUUGGGGCUACUCAAGAUCCAUGGUUAGAGAUUAAAAGGAUAAGCAAUCUAUUUUAUGGCUAAAAGUGCCUGGUUGUGGAGCAGAAUAUUCUUCUUUUAUUUUUCUUAGGUGGACAGAUUGUUGAAAUUCUUGAUGGAAUGAUAAUAUGUGCAUAGCCUAUUUCAUAAAGGUUCUGGUUUGCUUGCAGGGUUUAAAAGUUGUUUCAUUAUUAUAAAUUGCAUCCUUUUAGCCUAAACAAAUUAAACAACAAUCUUUAAAGAGAACAAUUUGUUGCAACUUAGUAGUGGUUCAUAUCUGGUGUCAAUUGUCCCUCUUUCUACCAUUUUUUUUCUUUUAAAUUGUCUAUCACUUCUUGUAGUCCAUAUAAAUGUUUCCAUUCCAUAUAAAUGAUUGUAUUCAAAAAGUAUAGUCAUGGAUCACCAGAAACCUUUUUCUUUUUUUUUUUUAACGGUUGCUGCAUCUGAACUCUUUGGCUGUCAGUGGUUAUCAAUCAUUUCAUUUACUGGCAGUAGGUUUUGAUAUUGGAUAAUAAUGAGAAGCAGAAGCUACAGUUAUAGUCCUUCACCCCCUAGGGGUUAUGGAAGGAGACGCCGUAGUCUGAGUCCUAGGGGUCGUUAUGGAGGCCGUGCAAGGGACCUUCCUACUAGUCUUCUGGUUCGCAACCUUCGGCAUGAUUGCAGGUUUGAUAUCUUUGCUUUCAUGGUGGCUGAAUUUCUAUUAUCUUUCUUUUGAAAUCCUUCCAGAAUGUAAACCUGUAAAGUGUAAACCAAAAUAUUGGUGCACCCAUAUGUAAUUUUGGGAAAAGUGUAUUACGAGUUUCUAUGUCAGGAUGUUACAUUUUAUGUAAAGAAGGCAUUAUGAGGUUCUGAGCCAACAUCUGCAGCAGCCAAGUCUGGCUUUGUUGUCUGCUGGUAUGUUAUUUUUAUCCUCUGCUGCUAUUUCAUUAUAUAUAUUUUUAAUGCUUCUGUGCAGGCCAGAAGAUCUACGUGGACCCUUUGGGCAAUUUGGUCCUCUCAAGGAUAUAUACUUGCCUCGGGAUUACCAUACUGGGUAAAGCAUAAACUCUUUUACGCUUUAAGUAGUUUGCCUAUUAGAUAUUGUUGAUUUAGUGCACUUGUUAAGUUUUUGUCAACUGGUCUCAUAUCUCUCAAAACCAUUUGAUGAUGGGGUUGUUUCUAUUUAUUUACAACUGGUUUGUGGGAAUGUUUAUGGGAAUUUGGUUGUUUUUAUUGAAAGUUUUGGAAGACACAAAUGAAGUAAUAAGAGAACUGUGAUGAAGACAACAAUGAAGUAAUAAGAGUACUUGAAGACACCAAUCAAGUAAUAAGAGUACUGUUCAAGAUGAUCUUAAUGAACAUCGAGAUUGAAGGGAAGUUGGAUUUGAAUACAUUCUGGAGAAGUUCCAAGUGUUGAAGAAUAUCCAACUCAAUUAAAAUAUUGGCUCCAUCAAGGUUAGCGGCCAUUAUUAUUUUUAUUUUAAUGGCAUGAGGUGUUGACUAGUGUUGUUGUGAUCAUCCUGUUACACUGGAGUCGCAAUCAUAUUUGUCUUUUUUGACGGUCAGCUCACAUGUAAGGCUUAUUGAUAUGUGAUUCUAUUAUUCAUUUGUAUCACUGUUGUGUCUCUUGAUGUAUGGAUGUUGCAGGGAGCCACGCGGCUUUGGAUUUGUCCAAUAUGUAGAUCCAGCUGAUGCUGCAGACGCUAAGCAUCAUAUGGAUGGUGAAAUUCUUCUUGGUCGGGAGCUGACUGUUGUCUUUGCUGAGGAAAAUAGGAAGAAACCAGCAGAAAUGAGGGCUAGGGAACGUUUAAGGUAACACUGGUUUUUUGUUUUUAUUGGCUGUUUGUAGAAAUUGUUGCUCUUUAGAAUGUUUGAUAUGAUAUGUGAAAUUGGAACUGAAUUACAACUUUUUUUUUUAUGCAUCCUGUUUGUUGCAGUAAAUGCUUAUAGAUAUUUUUCGAGGACCUCAUAUUUACUCUUGUUAGGGUUGGUCCUGCAUGUCGGUAUUGAUGUUUACUAUAGUGAAUACAGGAAGUUUCCCUAUGGACAAUGACAACUUAUUUCCAAUCUUGAAAUCUGGGAUUAGCAUCAAUGACAUGUAUUAUUUUUUACUAGGGAUCGGGCAUAUGACCGCAGGCGGUCUCCACUCCGUUAUUCGCGAUCACCACAUUACAGACGAAGCUAUUCUCGUAGCCCAGUGUAUUAUUCCCCUUCUCCUAGGCGAAGGCAUUAUUCAAGGUAUGCUGCCCAUUUCAUCUUUUUGAGUUCUAAUUCUGAACCCUGUAUAAAAAAAUGUUUGUAAAAUUCAGUCUACAAAUGUUGGAACUUUUUUCAUUGCAAUAGGUCAAUUUCUCCUAGGGACAGAAGGUACAGGGGGCAAUCUUACUCAAGGUCACCUUAUGCUCCAAGGAGCCAUAGCAGGACUCCAAGUAGGAGCCAGAGCCGGAGCCUAGACUACUCAAGAUAAUGGAUUAUUAUGAGAUAGUAAGCAUCAUAAAGAGAGAUCCUCAUCGGUAGGAGUUUGAUGUAACCAUUAUGAGCUGGUAGCAGAUUUUCUAGAGUAGGCUACUUGGUAGAAAUAAUGUUGACUGUAAACUUAAUGAUUAAUUCAGUUUCUACACUGAUCAAUUAAUGUUCUUGAUUGUUAUCUUGACAUAGAUUUAACCCUUCAUCCCCAUUGGCAUACAAGUAAUUAGAUGAUCUGUGUGAAUGGUAGUAUACUAGUGUUGAAGUGGUUUUUGUAUGUUACAUUCUUGGUUGUGUUUUUGUUGGGAAUGUAAUGAACUUGGUUAAUUAGUAGUAGUGUUAAACCUUGCUUUUUAAUAAGUUUGUUGCAUAAUCAUUUCAG
rnacentral:misc_RNA from 1 species